rnacentral:rRNA from 1 species
AGCAGCAGCCGCGGUAAGACAGAGGAUGCAAGCGUUAUCCAGAAUGAUUGGGCGUAAAGCGUCUGUAGGUGGCUUUUCAAGUCCGCCAUCAAAUCCCAGGGCUCAACCCUGGAUAGGCGGUGGACACUACCAAGCUGGAGUACGGUAGGGGCAAAGGGAAUUUCCGGUGGAGCGGUGAAAUGCGUUGAGAUCGGAAAGAACACCAACGGCGAAAGAACUCUGCUGGGCCGACACUGGCACUGACAGACGAAAGCUAGGGGAGCAAAUGGGAUUAGAUACCCCGGUAGUCCCUGUCUCUUAUAA